UACGAAGGUGGCAAGCGUUACUCGGAUUUAUUGGGCGUAAAGCGUGCGUAGGCGGUGUGUUAAGUCCGCUGUGAAAGCCCUGGGCUCAACCUGGGAAUUGCAGUGGAUACUGGCAAGCUAGAGUGCGGUAGAGGAUGGUGGAAUUCCCGGUGUAGCGGUGAAAUGCGUAGAGAUCGGGAGGAACACCAGUGGCGAAGGCGGCCAUCUGGACCGGCACUGACGCUGAGGCACGAAAGCGUGGGGAGCAAACAGG
rnacentral:rRNA from 1 species